rnacentral:lncRNA from 1 species
UCUAAAUUUGAUGAAACUUUGCAUAAAUGAUCUACACACUAUGUUCUAGACACUGAACGGUGGAGAUGUGAAAAAGUAACAUAAAAGUGAGCAAAAUGAAAAAUGUAACAUAAAAGUGAGCGAAAUGAGAAGCACCACACUUUAAUUUUAAAACGGUGUCCUAUUCUGAAAGGGAACUGUACAUUGAUGGGUGAAUAUGUAUAUAUAUACACAUAUAUUAUUAUUAUUAUUAUUAUUUUCAAACGAAGCGUAUAAUAUUUAGUUUGGUGACUUCUGUCUUAAUUCGGGUGUUGGGUUGCUGUUGUCCAAUAAUGUGUUUUUUUGUAAAGAGUUGACCAAGUCGAUCAUCUCUGAACCGAUCCGACCAAAAUAUAUACACAUACACUAUUGGAUUCAGAUUCGAUCGACUUAAUUAUUAAAUUUUACGCACCAAAACAUGGAGAUUAUGUACCCAGAACCUUUCACAUGCGAAAGAUGCCUACAUCCUUAAUCUCAAUUCACCAAAUUAAUGAAAUCAUGAUCGAAUUAAUCUUCAAGUCAUAACUUGGAGGAAACCACCAAGGUAUUAUUACUGGUACUACCACCACUGCUAAUACCCCAUAGAAAAAACUUCCCACUUUGUAUAUUGUCCGGCGGAAGCAAAGCCAGCCUAGCAGCAACGAUAGCGACAUCGUCCGCUGUGUGAUCUCCCUUGCAUCGAGUCAUCGAGGUCUGAGUGAAGCCGGGACAGAAGCUAUUCACGCUCAAACCUCUUCCUCUGUAGCGCUUU